GACGAACGCUGGCGGCGCGCUUAACACAUGCAAGUCGAGCGAGAACCAGCCCUUCGGGACUGGGGAAAGCGGCGAACGGGUGAGUAUCACGUGGGUAAUCUGCCCUCGGCACUGGGAUAGCCCGGGGAAACCCGGAUUAAUACCGGAUAGCCUCUCGAGCCUUCGGGCUCGUCAGAAAAGGUGGCUUCGGCUUCCGGCGGAGGAUGAGCCCGCGGCGGAUUAGCUUGUUGGUGGGGUAAUGGCUCACCAAGGCGACGAUCCGUAGCUGGUCUGAGAGGACGAUCAGCCACACUGGGACUGAGACACGGCCCAGACUCCUACGGGAGGCAGCAGUGGGGAAUCUUGCGCAAUGGGCGAAAGCCUGACGCAGCGACGCCGCGCGCGGGAAGAAGGCCUUCGGGUUGUAAACCGCUUUCAGGAGGGACGAAGCCACUCGGGUUAAUAGCCCAGAGGGUGACGGUACCUCCAGAAGAAGCCCCGGCUAACUACGUGCCAGCCGCCGCCGUAAGAC
rnacentral:rRNA from 1 species